rnacentral:rRNA from 1 species
AACGAACGCUGGCGGCGUGCCUAACACAUGCAAGUCGAACGAGAAAGGGGCUUCGGCCCUGAGUAAAGUGGCGCACGGGUGAGUAACGCGUGGGUAAUCUGCCCUCGAGCGGGGGAUAACAUUCCGAAAGGAGUGCUAAUACCGCAUGAGACCACGUUUCUGCGGAGAUGUGGGAAAAGAUGGGGAUCUUCGGACCUGUCACUUGGGGAUGAGCCCGCGUACCAUUAGGUAGUUGGUGAGGUAAUGGCGUCACCAAGCCGAAGAUGGUUAGCUGGUCUGAGAGGAUGAUCAGCCACACUGGGACUGAGACACGGCCCAGACUCCUACGGAGGCAGCAGUGGGAAUAUUGCGCAAUGGGGGCAACCCUGACGCAGCAACGCCGCGUGUGUGAUGAAGGCCUUCGGGUCGUAAAGCGACUGUCGGGUGGAACGAGCGCCGAGGGU